AGGGUUUGAUUCUGGCUCAGGACGAACGCUGGCGGCGCGCCUAACACAUGCAAGUCGAACGAGUGAGAGAGAGCUUGCUUUCUCAAGCGAGUGGCGAACGGGUGAGUAACGCGUGAGGAACCUGCCUCAAAGAGGGGGACAACAGUUGGAAACGACUGCUAAUACCGCAUAAGCCCACGGCUCGGCAUCGAGCAGAGGGAAAAGGAGCAAUCCGCUUUGAGAUGGCCUCGCGUCCGAUUAGCUAGUUGGUGAGGUAACGGCCCACCAAGGCGACGAUCGGUAGCCGGACUGAGAGGUUGAACGGCCACAUUGGGACUGAGACACGGCCCAG
rnacentral:rRNA from 1 species